CCGUACGUAGUACACGUAGUGUGCGUACUUCAAGCGUGCAGACCCUGAAUUGGGACACAGCCUUAAUUUCUUAAGGCUGAAGGAAGUGAGUCCAGAGCCGAGGAGCAGAGUGACUGAAAGCUCUGUGCCCCAUAGUGAUAACACGAGCAGAAGGAACAACAAGAUGAGUGGAGGAUGAAGGUCUGAGAGAGCGGGAAACAGUAGUGAUAUGAAGCAGAUCACAGAGAUAAGGAGGGGCAAGGUUAUGAAUACACUUAAACGUGAGAACUAAGAUUUUAAAGUUUAUCCUGGUUUCUAUGGGCAACCAGUGAAGCUGUUGAAGAAUUGGGGUGAUAUGGUCUCUUAAGGGAGUAUGAGCUAUGACACCGAGCUGCAGAAUUCUGAAGAAGUUGAAGUUUAUGGAGGGACUUAUUGGGGAGACCAAAUAGGAGGGAGCUGGAAUAAUCAAUCCAGGAAGUAAUAAGACUGGACGAGGAUGGCAGCAGCAUGAGGAGUAAGGAAGGGACGAAGUCGGCUAAUGUUACUUCUCAUGGAAGUGUGCUUCAGUGCGGCAGGUAAGCUCACCUGUCUCCUCUAUCUGUGCCCAAGCUGACAGUCUGUCCCCGAAUAGCAGCGGCUAUCAUCACGUAAUCUCUGAGGUCUGAUGGGAUGAAGAUGUAUUUGGUCUCCUGCACACACACACACACACACACACACACACACACACACACACACAGAGAUGAGCGGGGCUUUAAAGCACGAUAAAAGCGUUCACAGGCUCGUUUCUCACCGGGCUCUGAGGGAUUUCGGUGAAGCCGUCGUCGUGGUACCAGCUCAGCGCGUGCUUCAAGGUGUUGGUGGUGAAGCCGUAGAAGGAAGUCCUCGUGCCCACGUCUUCCUCAAAGCCUGUGAUCACUGCCCCGUUCAUUCUGAGUACACGGGUGAACACUCAGAGGCUCAAAUAAGGGCCAGAUUGUAAAACUUGUGGAGGUUUUGGAGUCUCACCUGAAGACAAAGUCGUGACUGUCGAUGUUCAUCCCCUGCCGGGACCCUCGGAGGAUACCUCCGUUUCCCACCACGGCACGCCGGAUGCACCUGCCAGGGGAGCGGCCA